AUUUUGUGGAGUCCAGUUACCACGAUAAAAACGGGGCGUUAUCAGAAAAGCCUAAUGAGUAUGAAAACU
rfam:Polaribacter sp. SA4-12 genome.